rnacentral:rRNA from 1 species
UGUAAUCUCACUUCUACAACUUUAUUGUUGUUUGAAUGUGGACUUGGAUGUUGCCGUUUUAUCACGGCUUGUCUUAAAUGCCUGAGUGUACCCUGUUUUGCAGCGUAUCCAGUGUAAUAAACAUUUCACUAGAGUUGGUCGAAAGACCGCGUUGACUAUAUGGGCUCUAUGCUUCAAACCGUCUGCCAUGUGGACAAUUUCUUGACAAUUUGACCUCAAAUCGGGUGGGACUACCCGCUGAACUUAAGCAUAUCAAUAAGCGGAGGAAAAGAAACUAACAAGGAUUCCCCUAGUAACGGCGAGUGAAGAGGGAAAAGCUCAAAUUUUAAAUCUGGUGUCUUUGACUCCCGAGUUGUAAUCUAGAGAAGUGUUUUCCGUGUCGGACCGUGUACAAGUUCCCUGGAACGGGGCGUCAUAGAGGGUGAGAAUCCCGUAUAUGCCACGGACUACCGAUGCUCUGUGAUACACUCUCAACGAGUCGAGUUGUUUGGGAAUGCAGCUCAAAAUGGGUGGUAAAUUCCAUCUAAAGCUAAAUAUUGGCGAGAGACCGAUAGCGAACAAGUACCGUGAGGGAAAGAUGAAAAGCACUUUGGAAAGAGAGUGAAACAGUACGUGAAAUUGUUGAAAGGGAAGCGUUUGAAGUCAGUCGCAUCUGUUGGGGUUCAGCCUGGCUUUUGCCUGGUGUAUUUCCUUUCCGAUGGGUCAGCAUCAGUUUCGACCGAGGGAAAAAGACAUUUGGAAUGUGGCUGUCUUCGGGCAGUGUUAUAGCCUUGUGUUGUAUGUCUCGGUUGGGACUGAGGAUUGCAGCGCGCCAUAAAUGGCCGGGGGUCGCUCCUCUCGACACGCGCUAGG